CCUCUGCCUCCCGAGUGGUGGGAUUAAAGGUGUGCGCCACCACGCCCGGCUCGUUUUUCAUGUUUCUUAAGCCUUUUACUACUCUCCACAUUUUAAGAAAUUGGGGUCUAUUCUAGUCUUUAUAGACUAGCUUGCCUGGAAAAGCCCCCAGCUGUUUAUCCUGUCCAGAGACUGGAAAGGCAGUGUGGCAUGUUGUACAGCACCUGCGGUUAGAGUCCUCAGCAUCCUGACCAGAGCUUGCGUUUUUACAGGGGUGCCUGGGUCCGGGAGAAGGUAGGCUGAAGUGCAGGGGCUCUCACCACUGCAGUCCUGGCCUGGGACUCAUUAUAGACCAGACUGGCUUCUGACACACAGAGCGUCCUGUCUCUGCCUCCUGAAUGCUGUGACUAAAUUGUGCCACCAUGCCCGGCCUUGAGCUGGAUUGGUUAAUAAGUUUUGUGGUCACACAAAUGCCUGCAUGCGCUUAGUAGUAAAGAUGACAGAAGCUCCACGUACAGCCUCCUGAGGAACAGUGUGUGCUUAGGUUUGAGAAUAAAAUGUACAGAACUGGAUGACCUAUAGGGACAGAGGAGUGGAGCAGAUGCAGCGAGAGGUUGGGAGGUCUCUGAAAGGAAGCAACUUGGGAGGUCGGCAGUUAUAAAAAGGGAAAGAGGAGGGAGUUGACAGACCAAUCAAAGCUCAGUUGUGCGAGUUGUGAUAAUCUUUACUUUAAAGUCAGAAACCUCUUGUCUACCACACAGUAUCGGGG
rnacentral:lncRNA from 1 species